rnacentral:rRNA from 1 species
GGCCCUACGGGGCGCAGCAGUCGCGAAAACUUCACAAUGGGGGCAACCCCGAUGAGGGAAUUCCUAGUGCUAGCACAAUUGUGUUAGCUUUUCUCUAGCGUAGAUAACUGGAGGAAUAAGGGCUGGGAAAGACGGGUGCCAGCCGCCGCGGUAAUACCUGCAGCCCAAGUGGUGGUCGAUUUUAUUGAGUCUAAAACGUUCGUAGCCGGUUCGAUAAAUCUUUGGGUAAAUCGGGGGGCUUAACCUUCCGUCUUCCGAGGAGACUGUCGAACUUGGGACCGGGAGAGGCUAGAGGUACUUCUGGGGUAGGGGUAAAAUCCUGUAAUCCUAGAAGGACCACCGGUGGCGAAGGCGUCUAGCUAGAACGGAUCCGACGGUGAGGGACGAAGCCCUGGGUCGCAAACGGGAUUAGAUACCCCGGUAGUCCAGGGUGUAAACGCUGCAGACUUGGUGUUGGAAGUCCUUUGGGGGCAUUCAGUGCCGGAGAGAAGUUGU